UGAUAUACAGGCUGUUCGUAACCAGUUAGCUCCAGUUGUUACGAGCUAGUUGUCAUCAGACUUGUUGGAACAACUUGUUGCGAAUCUGUUAACCUCAUCAACCUUUGUUAGAAUUUAAAAAUAGUUUCUGUUUAGCAAUAAUUUGUUCAGGAAAUGGCUGAGAAAAUUGGUAAAAUGGAAUGUAAAACUAUUCCUCGAAUGCCU